AUUGCUUAAAACAACUCCUUGGUAAAUAAAAAGCAGACGAGCGCACAAUUCUCAUCUAACGUUAGUCUCCCCGACCACGGCACACACAGAAGUGUAACGUUACUGUUUUAACCCGCGACUUUCUUCCGGGAAACACGAAGGGUUGUGGAAAACAGAAAGUAAUGGGGAAGAAGAUGCAAUGAAUGUUAAAGGUGCAAACCGUGUAAAUAGCAAAAAAUCUUGUUUUUUUUCCCGAACCGGUUCUUACUGAAGCAGAAGCAGUACCACAUGACUGCAGCUACGAUCAACAGAGCUCCAGCAGCAGCAGAAAUCAGCACUAUGUACAAUAAAGGAGAGAGUCACAUGACCCACAUUCACCACUGAACAC